UUAAGUUCAGCGGGUAUCCCUACCUGAUCCGAGGUCAAGAGCAAAAGAUCUUGAUGGAUGCCAACCGCAAUAGCAAGAGGCGCAAAAUGUGCUGCGCUUCAGGCUAUCGUGCCGGCUGCCAAUUGUUUUAAGGCGAGUCGUAUGACAAACACCCAACACCAAGCAGAGCUUGAGGGUACAAAUGACGCUCGAACAGGCAU
rnacentral:misc_RNA from 1 species